rnacentral:lncRNA from 1 species
UAUUUACUGAACUCUGUCUCUGGUUAUAAGAGAGGAUGGUCCAACUAUAUGAGUUUGAGCCCCAAGGGCUGAAUGGAUACAGAGUCUUGACUCCACUCUGAAUGCAUAAAGGGAUAAUCUCUCUGGGUAUGUAUGUGCUACAUCCCCUGUACGUCAAGUGCCCAACCAUUCCUGCUCUCUGGAGAUAGAGGUCCCAAAAGACAUAAUGAGGAGGAGUCCCUGGAGCAGCUUCACCACUGCAUUUCCAGGUUUGGAAGUGGAGUCAUUAACUGGCUGGUGCAGGGUUUUGAGAAAAUGGUACCUCAGCCAGAGAAAAAGCCUGAGGUCUGUACUCAGCAGCCUGUUGUAUAUCAACCUGCAAACAGCUGUCAGGAAGCAAAGGAAAAGAAGCCUGAGGAGACUGCCAAAAUAGAAGAACCAAAGCUGGAGCCUAAACUGGAACCGAAGCCGGAGCCUCCACCAAAAGAGAGUGCCAGUGAAUCUCUAACUACACAAGAGGCAACUGCAGCUAGCCAGCUGGGGCUUGGAGUCUCUUUUUUCCCUUGGGCUUUAGGUGGUGAUGGUAGCAGGAUGUUUGACUGGUUUGUUCAGGAACUGGAGAAGAUGGUUCCACAGCCUGUGAUCAAGCAGGCUGAUUCGGAAGGAGAAGUGGUAACUGCGUGCCCAGUGGAGGAGAGGGGGAAAGGGGCUUAAAGCCUCUGAAACAAAUGGAAAAUGAAGACGUGGGAGAAUCAUCUUUGCACAAAAUUAAAUUAAACCAACCUGAAGAGAAAAAUACAGUUGGGGGUAGAAACAAAGAGAAAGAUCUGCAAGUUCCUUUCUAAUUACGCCCCAUUCCAAACUUAAACCAGGAGUAAAAGCUGAGGCUCAACUAACUCAGUUGCUCCAUUUUCAAAAGGGAAUUUUAGCUAAACAUCUCAGUAGCUGAAGUUGGAUGCCCCCUUGGCUGGAGUUAGACGCACAGUAACUGUCUGCCUCUGCUGACUGGAAGAGGAAUUUCUGCUACUGGGAAGAACCUGACUCUAAUGCCAAUUCCAGUCAAUAGUAUUGUCAUUUUCUUCUGUUUUCACUUGACAUUGAUUUGUCUGGGUAUGUCAGAGGCAGAGAUUUUGAUUCUUCAGAAUAUGGCUGUAAGGUUUAAUUUGUACUGGGUAUAAGAGCUGAAAAAGAUCCUUUGCACAACCUUCUAAGCAUGGAUCUUCCUACUGUCAUUUCUGAAUUCCUAAAAUGAUUUUAAAGCCACAGCAUACCAAAAUGUUAUCACUUGAAACCUGCUGACAGUUUGAAUUUAAUUCUGUCAGAAAACCUUAGCACAAUACCCAAAUAGCACCUAGCUUCUCAUCAUCAGAGACUUGUGUUCUUUUUCUCCCACUGAAAAGGUAGUUCUGACUUAGCAAGUGGGAAGGGACCUGGUCUGGAACAGAAAAUAUUAGGUGUAUAAAUAAGGUUUAAGUGGCACAUAGGCUUUGUGGCUGUUCUUUGAGCAGGGCUGUAUUUAAUGUAUCCCAAGCAAUUGUGACUUUUCCACAGACAAUGUAGCUUUUCUGGUCUAGCCUGCUAAAAAGUUUCAGAGCAACUCUCAGCAGUUAAAACAUUCCAAGAGAGGCUAUUGUGUGAACUGAACACCUCCAAUAUACAGACACAGAGGCACAGGCACACACAUGCACUCAUGCAUGUUCUGGGCUGGAUUGUUAAAGAACAUUGGGUUGGACUUGAUCUCAUGUGAUCCCUCCUAACCCUACUUUUCUAUUACUAUGAUUAGGUACUCUUUUCCACCCAAGUAUCAUUUACUUUACAACAAGCCAGGCACCCAUGAUGAGGAGUUCCUAUCUAUGCAGCUGAAAUAAUGUUUCUUAUCUGUGUAUUUAUAAUGUGCUUGCUACAUGGCAACUGAGUAACAUUUCUGAAUCUUCCCUAGCGAACAAAAUCCAGUAUUUUUAGCAAAGUGUCUUCUUUUUCUUCUCCUUUGUAUUUUAAAACCUGUUUCUGAACAAAAUUGACUAAAUACAUUGUGUGGCAUUAGUACAAUGCCACCUGGGGUAGUGUUGAGUGAAUGUGUAUUGGAAUUAAAAAUAAAAUCCAAGCUUUG